CGCACGCAACCUUUUUUCCUUCCCUUCUUCUUCUUCUUCUAUUCCUUUCAGCCCUAGCCAUCGUCCGCCUUCCAGCCACCAGCCUUGUCAUUUCGAUGCCGCCGCAAGCAACGUCGCCAGAUCUCCUCGCCAGCGCCGCUGCAAGCAGCCUCACCUCGUCGGAUAUCCUCGCCAGCGCCACCGCAAGCAGUGCCUCGCCGUUCCGUCGUCGCCGCCAUGAGUUCCAGCUGCCGCCGUGAGCUCCUCGUUACCGUGAGCAGCGCCGCCUCCUUGUCGUUUUGUUCGCCGCCUCUGCCUUUUUGAGAUUAGGAUUUGGAUUUCGAGGCGUUGCUAACAAAGAAAGGACUAUUCUCUUCAUCGGAGAGUUUUAGUUUGGGUAAGUUUUAUGUAAGUUGGUCGGUUAUUCUUGGAAAAAAAAUAAGUUAUUGAUUUUGGAAUUAAUUAUUGAUCAGAUUGGCUACUUGAAUAAAGUUUUGAAAUUUUUCUUGGAUCAAGCCACAACUUUGGGUUGAUUCAAGUUUUCCAAAGGUUUUAAGGAAUUAUUUGCGUGGACUUUUGUGACCAAGUUGAGAUAAGUGAUACUAUUAUUGGCAA